rnacentral:rRNA from 1 species
CGUUUAUAGAUAUUAUUAUAAAUCUAAUCUGCUCAAUGAACAAUUAAAUAGCCGCAGUUCUCUGUGCUAAGGUAGCAUAAUCAUUUGUCCCUUAAUUAGAGACUAGUAUGAAAGAUCCAACAUUAAGCUCCUGUUUCAAUUUAACAACCCCAAUCUAUUUUAAAUAUUAAAAAAUAUUUAUUUAAAAAAAAGACGACAAGACCCUAUCAAACUUCACUAAAGUUUAGCUGGGGCAGCUAUUUAAAAAAAGUUUCCAAUUUUACUACUUUCAAAAUCAAUGACCUGUUAAAAACAAUAAAUAGAUCAAGUUACUGUAGGGAUAACAGCGCAAUAACUUUCCAAAGCUCUUAUCCAAAAAUAAGAUUGCGACCUCGAUGUUGAAUUAAUAUUACCUAUAAGGUGCAACCACUCUAUAAACGUAGGUCUGUUCGACCUUUAAAAAAUUACG